rnacentral:lncRNA from 1 species
UGGCCGUGUUGGUGAGGACGCCCGUCGUGAUCAGCGCCGCCAUGGCGUAGACGCCCUCGCUGCCCAGUGCCCACCACACGUAGGCCACCAUGGCGCCGGUGGCCGACCACAUGGCGGCCUCGUAGAGGCGCGCGCCCGGAUCGGCCAGCGUCCGGCGCACGUGGCGCCACGGCCCCACGCUCACGCCGCGGCACAGCCACAGCAGCAGCAGCGAGCACACGAUCUGCAGGCCUGUCGUGUGCACGCGCGCGCGCAUAGGCACACAUCGCCGCGGGAACAACAAGGAAAAGAAAACAGGGUGCGCGCGUGAGAUGAGAGGGAAAAACGGGCUCGCGCAGACCGCCCCGUGCGACAUGCAUGGAAAGAGCGCACAAAAAAAGGUGGAAAAAAUAGAUCCGCUGUGUCGCGCAAAAAAAGGAAAAUGGGAGAAAAAAACAAGCGGCGCCAAGAAAAAAAAAGAGAGAGAAAAUAUUGCACGGGUCCACAAGAGCACACGCCCAAAAAACAUACCGUAGAGCAGGCCGAGCAUGGCCUUGUUGACCUCGCGGUAGGCGAGGAACGAGUCGUAGCAGGUCUCGACCGGCUCGCCGUGCACCAGCGUGCACUCGACGGCAAAGGCCAGGAAGGCCAGACACGCCGCCACGUUGGCCAGCGAGAGGCAUGUGUAGAAGCAGCCGCGCACGGUGCACAGGCAACGGUCCAUGGCGACGCCAGGCGCGCACACAAUGCGGUCGUGCCUGUUCAAGCGGUCGUAGGUCCUCUGUCGGGCCAGUCGCACUGGACGUCCAAAAAGAGCAAAC